AGCUGGGAUUACAGGCACACGCCACCAUGCUCAGCUAAUUUUUGUAUUUUUAGUAGAGACAGGGUUUCACCAAGUUGGCCAGGCUGGUCUUGAACUCCUGACCUCAGGCAAUCCGCCUGUCUCAGCCUCCCAAAGUGCUGGAAUUACAGACAGAAAACUUUUAGACAAUAACUGUCCUAUCGUAGGCAAACGCCACAGAAAAAAAAAAAAAUUAUAUUCGGAUCACGAGGUCAGGAGAUCGAGACCAUCUUGGCUAACACGGUGAAACCCCGUCUCUACUCAAAAAUACAAAAAUUAGCCGGGUGUGGUGGUGCAUACCUGUAAUCCCAGAUACUUGGGAGGCUGAGGCACAAUAAUUGCUUGAACCCGGGAGGUUGCAGUUAGCUGAGAUCACACCACUGCACUCCAGCCUGGGAGACAGGGCGAGACUCCAAAAAACAAAACAGAAAAGCCGUAUGAGGCACCCCCACCCCGCUGGUAAAGGGAGGUAUCAAUGGAGCCAGGUGAGAAAUCUGGACUUCAACACCCACACUAUCCCUGGGAGCCUCUUUCUUUCCCUUGUCAGAGUGGUAUCAGUGGAAGCCAGCUAAAACACGAAGUUUAAGUAAAAUCCAGAGUCUCAUAAUAUAAUACCUGGAAUAUGCAGUUUUCAAUAAAAAAGUUUGAGAAAUAACAUGACAUGAUGCCUGAAGCAAAAUCUCUUGGCUUCCCCUUGGUCAACAGGUACCUUUACCAAAGAACUGCUGCAGGUUUGCCAUCACCUCAGUGGUCACUGAUCUGUGUGUGAUAUAUCCUUUCUUUCUUUCUUUCUCUUUUUUUUAUCUUGAAACAGAGUCUCCAUCUGUCACCCAGGCUGGAGUGCAUUGGCGCCAUGUCCCACCUCCCGGGUUCACACUGUUCUCCUGUGUCAGCCUCCUGAAUAGCAGGGACUGCAGGCGCCCGCCACCACGCCUGGCUAAUUUUUUUUUUUGUAUUUUUAGUAGAGACGGGGUUUCGCCAUGUUAGUUAGCCAGGAUGGUCUUGAUCUCCUGAUCUCGUGAUCUGCCCGCCUUGGCCUCCCAAAGUACUGGGAUUACAGGU
rnacentral:lncRNA from 1 species